UCACACCAACAAGAACAACAUAAGAACAACAGAAAGGCAAGAAGCCCUACAAAUCCCAAAAGACCCAAAGGCCCUUUACCUCAUCCCUCAAACCUCCACAACUCCCUUGACCUCCUCCUUCACCUCCUUCCCCUUCCCAUCCUUCUCACAAGCACUUUCCUCAACCUCAAAAGCACUUACAGGAAAAGUCCUAAACAACCCAGCAGGGGUCUUGAAGGUGAUCUUCCCAGUUGGAGGGUCAUCAACGUAAAUGUCACUGAGCUGCACCCACACCAAGAGCUCCUUGGUCUUCACCCCUGUCAGCUUCUUGAUCUUGCCCUUCUCAACAAUGGCUGUGACCUCAGGGGCAUAACUGACCAACUUCCCAAUUUUCUCAAACUUGUGGGUGUAGCUCUUCUUCUGUUUGAGCCACACAAAGCCAGUUUCUCGGAUAAUCCCACACUCCUCAAUGUCCUUGAGGGGCAAGAGGCCAUUGGGGAGGGAGAUUUCUGAGAGAAGCUGCUUUGCUUUUUGUUGGCAGAUUUCAUCUCCAUGGUAGAGCUCAUCUGCUUUGGACUUGAUCUCUGCUGUGAUGAGAGAGGACAUUUUGGUCUUUUUCUAAUUUUGUUGGGGAUUGGUCUAUAUUUUGUGAAGGUGGCGAGUAAGUUGAGAGUUGGGGUUGGGAUGUUUGAAGUGGAAAGUGUUGGGGUUUAUGUAGGUGGGGAGAUAGUACUUUGCCCUUGUAGUUUGUCUAAAUCACCAAAAUGCCAUUGGAGUUUUGCCCUUGUAUGUCCAAAAGAAUUGCAAGAUGUGCCAUUUGGGUUUUUUUUUUUUUAACAAACUAUAUUAUUUAUACAUUUUAGGUUUGAUUCCUAAGGUUUAGGGUUUAGGUUUGAUUCCUAGCGCUGGUGAAUCACACGAUGGUAAUCAAAUGGAGGCUAAAAUGUCUUUGUAAGUAUUUCCGGUGCCCGAAAGAGUGGACUGAUAUUGUAAAGCCACCGGUUGAUCUGUUUGAAAAAAAAUAUUUAUCAUCCUUACAUUCAUGCAAAUCAAACGUGAAAUCCAUCCAACCAAAUGAAUACAAAGGAUAACACUCUAAAAAUGUGAUCAUACACACACUCCUUGCUGUACAAAUUUCCCCACAUCCGCAAAAUAAUUAUCACUAAACCAAAAGCUAAUUGGUGAUUGAUUUGAGUUAAGCCCAUGCAACUUAAUCCAUAAACAUCUAACUUAAUCCAUAGUGGUGGAAAUGUGUUGUCAUUACAUGACGACGUGAGUUCGAAUCCCGUCGGUAGCUAAUUUAACAUCUAACUUGAAGAGUAGGGGCCUUUAGGAUCCAUCAUGCACACAUUUGGAAAUGGAUCCUCUUCAGAUCCCUUCCUCCUAAUCCACAAAAUUAGGGAAUCCGUUCUGUUAAAAUUUGAUUCAGGGAAUGAAGUUAUUAUAACUUUUAAAGUGAGCCCCUGUUUAUAACAAUUUGAUCAAAUUUUAACAACACAGAUUCUCUGAUUUUGUGGAUUAGGAGGAAUGGAUCCGGUCCAUUUCCCACACAUUUAUGGUGCAGUUGGGAGGAGUUAUGGUGAAAUUAAGGUUGGGAAGAGGGGGGUUGAGGUGUAGCCACUCAUAUAGCUCCACGUCUAUUGUAGUUGGGGAACGGUAACGAGAUGGGAGAAGAACCGGGAAACAAAAUCACGUCCGCUCACCUCACCUACACCCCUUUAAUUAUUCUUUUUUUUUUUUAAGAUUUUAGUACAUGCAACAAUAAAUAAUUCAAAUUGGGUCCCUUCUUUUACUUCAAUUUUGCUGCUACCUCCCAUCCAACCAACUCUUUAUUUGACAUCUAAAGAUUACUAUUUACAGAAAAAGACAAUGACAAAGAAAAAUGUAGUUCAGACGCUGGCCACUGAUCUAAAAGUUUCCGUCUAACGUUAGUUAGGUCUCGUUUAGUGUCGCUAGGUGACUGACUACUGUUAUGAUAAAUUUCUAUUUAAAAAAAUAAGAAAUGACGUAUAAAUAUGCUUAGAUGGUCACUUGGUUUGUCUAAAUCACAACUCUUAUUUAGACAAAAAAUAAAUUAUUUCUAUUUUGAUUUUAUUUUUUCAAUAAAUUGAGAAUUGUUAAAUAUUUGGAUGAACACUCAUUAUAUGUUUGUUCUUUAUGUUUUCAAUAUGCUCUAAUACUUUAAAAUUGGUCUCAUCGGAUAAAUAUUCAUUACGAUGAUAAAGUACACAGAAGAUAGUCCCAUGGUAAAAAAAAAAUUUGAAUUUAACCCUCGUGGUAUAGUCCUUUAGCAAAUUAAUCCAAAAAUGAUUUUUCUGUUAAAUGUCCGUUAAAUAUAGAAAUAAAAUGUACUUUAACGUGUGCACACCUUCUUCUUCCUACUAUAUUUUGCAUGGAUUUGGAUCGCAUCCGGAUCCAAAUUGUGGGAAUUAUAAGGAUCUUCACAUCUUAGCCAUUCAUCAUGCAUCGUGUAGUAAAAAAUUAUUUGACUUUUUUUAUUUAAAAUUAAACACAAAUAGUAUCUGAUGAAAACUGAUCACACAAUAUAUGAUGAACGGCUAGAAUGUGAGGAUCUUUAAGAUCCUCACAAACAAGGUUCUAAAAGACAUUAGGCGCUCGUCGGGUGCGGGUUGGGGCCUAGGUCCUAAGGGGCUAGGCGGGCGCCUCGGCGGACUAGGCGGAUUUAAGUAAAUAUAUUAUAUUCAUGUAAAUAAGUAUAUGUUUAUACUUAAAAUAUAUAUAAAUUCAUCAUAAACUACAAAAUAGAAUGACAUAUAUAUUAUGAAGUAUUAGAACAUAAUGAAAACAUAGAGAACAUGCAUAUAAUGUGUGUUCAUUGAAUUAUUCAACAAGUCUCUUACAAUAUAUUGAAAAAAAAAUAAAAUGAAAAAUGAAAAAUAUCUAUUUUCUAUAUAAGCUAGUUGCAACAUAGGCAGGUCUAGACGGACGCCUUAGCAGGUUUAUGCGCUCUUUCUUAAUUUUCAAAUACUUAAGCAUUAAUCGGAACGGUGACUAACCGUCUAUGCGCUAGACGAGAAUUUUUAGAACAGUGUCCACAAAAAAGAUCCGGAGAGGAUCCUUUUUUUUAAGAUUUUAGUACAUGCAACAAUAAAUAAUUCAAAUUGGGUUCCUUUUUUUACUUCAAUUUUGCUGCUACCUCCCAUCCAACCAAUUCUUUAUUUGACAUUUAAAGAUUACUAUUUACAGAAAAAGAAAAUGAUAAAGAAAAAUGACAGAAAGAAAAUAAAUUUCAAAAUAAAAAUUAUUUAUUUUCUAUUUAAGUGAGUUGAAACCUAGGCAUGUCUAAGCAGGUGCUUAGGAGGACGUCUUAGCAGGUUUAGACGUCAUUUCUUAAUUUUUAAAUACUUAAACAUUAAUCGAAAUGGUAAUUAACCGUCUAUGCGCUAGACAAAAUUUUUUAAAAUAGUGUCCACAAAAAAGAUCCUGAGGAUCUCUUCCUAAUAGAGCAACAACUCAAGAAAGCCGUACAUAAAAAGGGACAGCUAUUCGCACACGCUUGUUCAUCCAAAUCUCCACCGCGCCAUAAGUCGGUCGCCUUUUCCAACACCAAGUGAACGUCUAGUAACAAACAAAAAACAACACGUUUGCACAAACAAAUUAAGCAAAAAAUGGUUCAAGAAUAUGUAAAGAGAUUGUAUUGAUAAAUUAGUUAAUUACCUUGGAAUAAGACUUCUUCCAAUUCACCUUUUCACCGUUCGCCUUUUCCAACACCAAUUCACCGUUCGCCCCAACUUUUUCCCCAAAACAAAAUAUCCUGCAAACCCACAAGAAUGCGGGUCUAAAUUUUUUAAACUAAAUGAUGUGGUUGUUGAUGAUCAAAUUAUUACUUAAGUAUUGAUUAAUGUAAUUAUUUUCUAUUAAUGACACAUCAUUUAAUUAAAAUUUUGAUAUCCCUAGCAUUACCCAACCCACAAAUAUCAACACAAAACCCACUUCAGAAUUUCAAUCAAAAUCCAUAAUUUAAACAAAAAUAUGACAGACGCCCAAAACAAGAACAGCACCGGGAGCCGUGAGCAUCAAGCCAUUGGAUUUGGGGACUAGUGCUUCUGUAUGUGAUGUCACUGCACUCCCAUCACGGUGCACGGCAGCCCCAAUCCCACACCCAGAAACGUGUCAUGGAGAGGUGUGGUUGGAUCAACUCGAUGCCGCCAGAUGUGAACACCAGCAGCGUUUUGGAAUUUGAGAUUGUGAUUCUGAAUGAACUAGGUUGCUGGGAUUCGAAUGUGAGUUUGGUUUUGAGUUUUCUGUCGAGAAAUGGUGAGGUGCGUUUUGAUUGGUGAGGACAUAGCUUGGCCUCUCCGAUGAAGGACCAUGUGCUUGCUGGUAUACAAGAUGCAAAUACAACAUCCUAAAAUGGAAGAAAGUGAGAUUACAAAGAGAGGGAAGAUGAAGGUGUACGGGUCAAAUUACAUUUUUAUUCUGUAUUUAAUGAACAUUUAACUGAAAAUCAACUUUGGACUAAAUUUGCUAAAGUUGCAUACCACCACGAAGAAAAAUGAUGUUACAAUCUAAGGGGAGAAUUUGAGCUUAGACGUUUUUUCAUAUUGAAAGAUGAAUUUAAAAAAAACUAAAUGUUUAUCGAAAGAAAAAUUCAAAUUUAGAUGCAUGACGAUGCAACAGAUUAAUUAUAAUAGAGUUAGUCAAUUACGAUACAAAAGUUGGGCACCAUGAGAAAGGGUCUACAAAUUCCCCCAUUUUGCAAAAAGUAUUACGUAAAUAAAAGUAUGGGACAAGCUUGUAAACUUGGUUUACCCAAAAAGGAUAAAAUGCCCCAUCUCUAUAAAUUUUCUGUCUCCAAGAUAUUUUCUUUUAAGUGCAUGUAUUCAUAAAGUCUAGGAUGAUGUGUUAACUUUUCUUAAUUUGUAAGAUUUUAAUUUUUUUGGAAGUUUUGGCAAUUGUUUUGUUAUUUUGGAUCCGUUUCACAUUAUCAUUUGGUUUGAAGUUACUUAUUUUUCACUACAUUGACUCUUGUCAAUUUAAAUUUCAAAGACAACAUUGUUCGAGCAAAAACAAAUGAACAAACAAAUUUUGUUUUUUGCUUGACUAUAAGGAUGACGAUGACAUUUUUUUUCAAAACAUUUAUACAUCAAAUUGAAUAACAUAAUUUUUACAUCUUAAGUUCGAUUUCUGGUACUGGUGAAUCAUGUACUCGAUGAUGGCAGAGGAGGUUGAAAUGCCAUUUCGGCCUGCAAAAUAGUAGAUUGUCGUAGCGAAGUUACCCGCUAAUCCGUUCUUUAAAAUAAUGAAAUAUUUAUAAAACUUUGCUUGCGAAAUAAGUACGAUAGAGAAGUAAAAUAUUAAUGAUUGUGUAUCAACAUGGCCUCGCAACAUAAAUUAGCACUCAACAUCUAUAAAUGCAUUAACUUUCCAAUAAAUAAUAAGAAUUACUCAUAAAUUUGAGUGUAGCCGAAUUAGUUGAGUAGCUGACGACGUAUUCACCUAAAUUCAAGUCUUACCCUUUUCCUCUAUACCCAUGCCCAACGGCGCCGCCAGGAGCGACGUCGACGCCACCCGUCGGCCCGAAUGACACUGGGCCGGACCCGGUCAACGUGGUGUUGGGCCCAGGCCCAGUAGCUAUCCUAGUUGAAAUGGGGCCCGCCAGCUGCGGCUCUUGAUUGGGCUGAUCCAAAAGAUACGCAGACGUAUCAAGGGUCGGCAUGCAGAGGCCGACAACACCGGCCAACCGGCUACCGGGUCUCUGUGGCUCCGGCUUCAGAACCGACGGCAUAGUGACUUGUCCGUUACCGAAUCUUACGCCGGUCACCUGUUGCACCAUCUGUCGGAAGUUGCUCAGGUCCGCCGUGAUGAAAGUCGUCUGGGACCGUUUCGACGCGGGAGACUUGCGUUUCGAAACCUUACCACUACCAUUCGCCACCGGAAUCGCGUUUCUCUGCUGGCGUUUAAGGGGAGCGGCAGCCGAAUCCAAAUCGUCCGAGCCGGAGAGUCCCGAAACGGUGGGGGUGGGGGCCGCUUCGGGUGUUUGAACGAUGGUGUUGAGAAAAGGCAUGAAAAAAUCGGCGGAGGAAGAAUCGAGCGGCUCCGGGUUGUUUCCGGAGAGGGACUUCUGGGGCGCCAUGGUGAGGGUUUUGGUGUCGCGGGAAAUGGCGUCGGAGAUCCAGGAGUCGGCGAAGGUGUUGGGCCUGAAAGCCCACGGCUCCAUCAUGCUCGCCACGUUCUCUGACGACGCCAUUAAGCAGCUCAAUCAACUAAAAAUUCAAAAUUUAAAACUGAAAAUUUGAAUUUGAGCAACUGGGUUUUUGUGAAAUCAAUCGGAUUUCAGAUCAUUCUUUUCCGUACGCACUUACAGGAAAAGUCCUAAACAACCCAGCAGGGGUCUUGAAGGUGAUCUUCCCAGUUGGAGGGUCAUCAACGUAAAUGUCACUGAGCUGCACCCACACCAAGAGCUCCUUGGUCUUCACCCCUGUCAGCUUCUUGAUCUUGCCCUUCUCAACAAUGGCUGUGAUCUCAG
rnacentral:lncRNA from 1 species